rnacentral:lncRNA from 1 species
GUCUUGUGAUCCCGUAGGAUACACGCAAUCAGUCUAACGUCUCGAAGGACACAUAAUCAGUCUAGUGCUCUCGAAGGAUGCACAUAUCAGUCUUGUGAUCCCGAAGGAUGCACAUAAAGGUGGUGAUUCCGUAGGACACCGGCAAGGUAACUACCCAAUAGGAAAACUAAUAAUUUCCCCCUAAGUUCAUUCCAAACAUCUUAACAGUCGUUCACAGUUCAGUUAAUUACCCUUCUUACAUAAACUCCUCAUUUAACCCCAAACAGUCGUCUUACUCUAAUUUAGCCCAAGGUCAGUCAGAAACAUAAUGGUACAUCAGUCAACAACUAUCUAUUCAUGUCUUCUAAGUUCACAAGAACGCAACCAUAACAAUAUCAUACAUUUAAUCCAAACCACAACACACCAAUUCAAAACUACCCAAUAUAGGAAAAACAUCUACGAGUUUCAGUCAUUCCACAUCCACAUCAAUCCAUACAUAUAUAUAAAUUUCUCCCAGUCAACGCAGUAGACAUUACACAUUAAGUUCACAUCCAAACAUACAUCAUAAUCAUUGUCCCAAUUUAGUUUAGAUAUAACAUUACAAUACAUAUAGUCGAUACAUUUUAAUUUUAUUGUUGAAUCCAUUAGAAAGUCCCUUACCUCAAGGUAACUCAAUUUCUCGAACAAACUAUAUCCAACGAAAGACACCAAGGUAUUAGCGAACCGAACUCCAACAAUUUACAAGUUGGUUGUGAAUUCAAGGGACUCAACGUUACUUCCAACGCCUUCAAGAACAAUGUUAACGAAACGUUUAAUUUGAUAUUUCAUCUUAACAAUCCAUCACGCAAAAACCAUCAAUUUCACUUAUCAGAGAACUCACAACAAAACAGCGGCAACGGCGAUCGAACCUAAACGACAAAGAUCGUACAAACAGAUUAGAGUGUACAUCGGUUUGUGAAUCACGGCUGGAAGAAGAAGCACGAUGCUGCCUUACUGUCGGCCCACGAACAGACGCGGCGGUGCAGAUGGUUGAGGAAAGCGGAACAAAACCCUCAGUUGGAAUAUGGAAAGUCGUGGCGGUGUGGAACGGUUGCGGACGUCACGACGGCACAAAACGUGAGGCAGAAGACUUGUGCAAGCUGAGCAACGCAGAUUUUCGAGCAGUUAGACUAGCAGAAGAUGACGGACAGUGUGAUGAAGUGGCUCGAGUGGUUGCGGAUCUGGACAGCAGGGAGGCGCUGACGAACCGCAACGAGCAGUUGGGGGUUUGAGUAACGGCGGCGCCAAAAAAUGAAAGAGAAGGGGGAGAGGAGAUGUUCAACGGCUGGAGGAAGCAGUGGGAUGCAGCACGAACAGAAAAAGUACGCGGCGACUUUGUAACCUGGACGGACGACGACUUCAGGCAAAUAGUGCAGCGGCGACGACGGGAUGAGGAGAUUUGGACAGUGAUGGUGGCUGGCGGACGAGCGAAAAUGAGAGGGGAGAUGUGAGGCGACUGGGUAGGGAGAGAAAUAGGAGAAGAUGAAGAAGAAAAUGGGGAUCGUGCGUGGGAGAAGAAGAAAAGGAAAUUGUUUUUCUUUUAUUUUCUUUUUUUUUAAAAAAAAAAUAUAUAUUAUUGUUAUUAUUUCUUUUUUUUUUCUUCCACCCCAAGUAUAGUAAAAUCACACCCAAAUUUUAAAAUCAUUAGAUAACAAGGCAAAUUAACUACAAUGAUAAUAAAAAAAAUGCCUUAAAGCUCGGGGUGUUACAUUCUUCCUUCCUUAAGAAACUUUCGUUCUCGAAAGUUCUAAUCCUGGAACAACUCUCGGUAACGAACUCUAAAUCAUUUUUUCGCUUUCAUGUCGCCUCUUCAACUCGUUGAUUUUGCCACAUUACUUUCACUAAUGCAAACCCUCUGUUAUGAAGCAUCUUCACCUGUCUAGCCAGAAUCUCAACUGGUUGUUCUACAUAGCUCAAAUUCUCAUCAAUCUCUAAUGGUUCAUAAUCCACUACAUGAGAUGGAUCUGCCACGUACUUUCUCAACAUCGAAACAUGGAAAACAUUAUGAACUGCAGAGAGGGAUGGUGGCAAUGCCAAACGAUAUGUCACAACACUGAUUCUCCCUAAAAUCUCAAACGGUCCUACGAAACGAGGACUCAACUUCCCUUUGUUUUCAAAACGCAUAACAACCUUCAUAGGUGCUACCUUCAAGAACACCUUAUCUCCCACAUCAAACUCAAGGUCUUUUCGCCUCACAUCUGCAUAACUUUUCUGUCUACUCUGCGCUGUUUGCAUACGUGCUCUAAUUGUCUGAAUAGCCUCAUUAGUAGACUAAACUAACUCAUGACUCAUCAAUCUCUGUUCACCAACCUCAUUCCAACAAACAGGAGAUCUACAACAUUUACCAUACAAAGCCUCAAAUUGCGCCACGCCAAUAGUAGCCUGAAAACUGUUAUUAUAAGCAAACUCCCUCAAAUGCAAGUGAGAGUCCCAACUACCUGAAAACUCUAGUACACAAGCUCGUAGCAUAUUCUUUAAAACUUGGUUCAAACGUUCAGUUUGACCAUCAGUCUGUGGAUGGAAAGUCGUACUGAAAUCUAACCUUGUGCCCAUAGCAGUCUGAAGUCCCUUCCAAAACUUAGAAGUAAAACGUGCAUCCCUAUCAGAAACAAUCGAUACAGGCACUCCGUGUAGUCUCACAAUCUCAGUCAAAUAUAACUGUGCCCGCUUACUAGCAGUAUAAGUGGUUUUCCCUGGGACGAAAUGUGUUGAUUUUGUAAGUACGACGACAACAACCCAAAUCACUAUGUAACCCUUUAGGGUUCUAGGCAGUCCUGUAAUAAACUCCAUAAACACAUUCUCCUACUUCCAUUUUGGCACACUCAAAGGCUGCAACAAACCUGCUGGUUUUUAUCUAGGUGCUUUAACCUGCUGGCACACCAAGUACUUACUAACAAACUUUGCCACUUCUCUCUUCACACUACGCCACCAGUACACUCGUUUCAGAUCUUGAUACAUUUUUAUUUUGUACUACCAAGAUGCAUGGAAAAUGGGGAACUAUGAGCCUUAAUCAAUAAUUCUACCUUAACUGCUUUGUCUGUUGGCUCACAUAAUCCUUUCUCAAACAUAAGUUCGCCAUCAGAGGAUAUGGAGAACUUCUUACCUUUCCCUACUUCUACUAGGUGACGCUUCUCAAUCAAAUAAGGUUUAAUGAACUGAACAACAACAAUUCUUUGUCUCAAGGUCGGAUGUACUGACAACUGAGCUAACUGUGAGGUGACUUCCCCCACUGAAACUACAAUCUCAGCUCUCUCGUGGUUUUUGUCUAAUGAAACCUGUCUGGUAAUAAGUGCUGUCAAAAUGUGAUACUUUUCUACGAAGAGCAUCAACUACAAAAUUCGCCUUACCUAGAUGGUACAAAAUCUCACAAUCAUAGUCAUUUACUAACUCAAACCAUCUUUGCUAUCUCAUACUCAACUUCUUUUGAGUGAAGAAGUAUUUUAUACCUUUCUUUUAUUAGAAAAUAUCUAUAUCUUUUCAUCAUACAUAUAGUGCCUUCAAAUCAUUAAUGUAAAAACCACAACUGUCAAUUCCAUAUCAUAAGUUGGACAAUUUUCCUCAUGACUCUUCAACUGACGAGGAGCAUAAGCAACUACUUUAACUUGUUGAAUCAGAAUACCUUUUAAACUUUCCUAAAAGCAUCACUAUAAAUUACGAAACUUUGUGAACCAUCAUGUAUGGCAAGCACGGGAGUUAUACAAGCUUCUGCUUAGAUCCUGAACACUAUCCUCAUAGGUUUUGUCCCAAACAAACGGAGUCCCGUUUCUUAGUUAACUGAGUCAAAGGAGUAGCUAUACAAGAAAAGUCUUAUACAAAUCGUCAGUAAUAACCUGCAAAACCCAAAAAGACUACGAACCUCACUGACUAUGAAAGGUCGAGGCCAACUAGUAACGACUUCAAUCUUUUGUGAGAUCCACAUAAAUGUCAUCUCUAGAUAUCACAUGGCUUGGAAAGAUACUCGGCCUUAUCCAAAACUCACAUUUUGAAAACUUUGCAUACAAUUCGUUGACUCGAAGAUCCUCUAAAACCAUGCUAAAUGCUCCUCAUGUGUUAUCCCUGUCUUGGAAUAAAUUAAGAUAUCGUCAAUAAAUACAAUCACGAAAGUGUCUAAAAGAUCAUUAAACAUUUUGUUCAUCAAGUCGUAAACAUUGUUUGAGCAUUUGCCAACUCAAAAGACAUCAUAAUGAACUCAUGAUGUCCAUAUCUGGAACGAAAAUCUGCCUUAGGAAUGUCACUGUUCUCUAAUCCUCAACAAGUCAUAACCUGAAUGUAAUUCAAUCUUAAAGAACACGGACUUAUUGCAGUUGAUCAAACAAAUCCUCAUUCAUUGGUAAAAGAUAUUUAUUCUUAACAGACAUCUUAUUCAACUUUCUUUAGUCAAAACAUAUGUGCAUCGGCCCAUCUUUCUUCUUAACAAACAAAAUUGGUGCACCCCAAGAUAACAUACUUCGUCGAAUGAAGUCCUUGUCAAACAUUUCUUUCAAUUGCACCUUCAAAUCUUUGAACUUUGUUGGGGCCAUUUUGUAUAAAGCUUUAGAUAUAGGAACGAGUCUAAUUCUAUCUCAAUAGCAAGACCAAUUUCUGUAUAGCACGGUAAUCUUAGAAACUCUUCUAGAAAAAUAUCAUAAUACUUUUUCAUCACUGAUUCAAAUAACAAAGAAACAUCGACUUCCCUGGUGUCUACCACACUAGUCAAAAUACAACAGAUACCCUGGUCAAGCAACUUACUAACCUUCAUAGCUCGGAUAACUUUUAGUGAAAUGAUAGUUCCAACCUCUUUGUACUUGAAACUAGCCUCUGGAGAAUGAUUAGAAACUACAUUUUCGCUGAACAUUUUAUGUUUACAUGGUUAAACUACAUUCCAAUUUUCAAACUCCAAACUAGUAACUUUUCAUUCACGAGAAACUCAAAAUUGUUUCUCAAAGUCACAUCAAGACAACCAUGCUCAUUUUCCUUGUUUCUUUUCCAAUACCUCCAUUCUAAAACCAUUCAAUGUGCUUCGUAUAAACUUGUCGUGUAUUUAGUCCUCUUUAAAACCACCAAUAUAAGAUAGUUCUUAUAUUUUUAGUCACCAAAGCAGUCAAUUAAGUUAAUUAUGUCUUACUCUUCUGCUUACUCGACCACCCCUUUGAGCACCUCUACAUGACCAAUAACUCCUUUAAUCUUAAACAAUAAAGACUUCAUACAUUCUAGCUUAACAUAGGCAAGGCCAUGUUCAUAAAGUCAUACUUAUAAAUCAUAAAAGCGUACCUGACGAGUGACGAAGGAAUGUGUUAGCCAUAGGGCCACAAAAUCAUAGACUUACAUCAUAAGUCAGUCUACAGAACCUAAAACUUAGGCUCUGAUACCAACUGUAACGACCCAAUUUUUCUAACUAAGUCGAAGUCGUUAAUUUUUGACAAAAGACCUUGAUUGACACAAAAUAAAAUAUAAGACAUUUGAAAACAUACAAUUGAGGGAAACACAAUUUAAGUCGGGCCUGGUUUCAAAUAUUCAAAACUUUAAAAGUACUGUUUACCAAAAUAAUAGUUCGUAAGCUCAGUUCCAUCAUAAUGUUUUAAUCAUAAAAAAACAUAAAGCGGAGGCAAAUUAACAUAUUCCCUAUGGCAGUCACGCUUCCUUCCUACCCCUCGCCGAUAUGCCACCCUUGUUACUUUUGCCUAAAAAGUUAAACAUAAAAGGGUGAGUAUAAACAUACUCAGUAAGAGGUCUGCCACUGCUCCCAUUAGAGGAAAAUAAACUAUUAGCUCCAUAUGGAGUACCCUGCACAGUCAUAGUCUUGUGUAUCCUAUUGUGAUCCCAUAGGAUACACGCAAUCAAUCUAACGCCCCGAAGGACACAUAAUCAGUCUAGUGUUCUGCAGAAACACAUAUCAGUCUAGUGCUCUCGAAGGAUGCACAUAUCAGUCUUGUGAUCCCAAAGGAUGCACAUAAAGGUGGUGAUCCCGUAGGACACCGGCAAGGUAACUACCCAAUAGGAAAACUAAUAAUUUUCCCCUAAGUUCAUUCCAAACAUCUUAACCGUUGUUCACAGUUCAGUUAAUUACCCUUCUUACAUAAACUCUUCAUUUAACCCCACACAGUCGUCUUACUCUAAUUUAGCCCAAGGUCAGUCAGAAACAUAAUGGUACAUCAGUCAACAACUAUCUAUUCAUGUCUCCUCAAUUCACAAGAACGCAACCAUAACAAUAUCAUACAUUUAAUCCAAACCACAGCACACCAGUUCAAAACUACCCAAUAUAGGAAAAACAUCUACGAAUUUCAGUCAUUCCACAUCCACAUCAAUCCAUACAUAUAUAUAUAUAUAUAUAUAUAUAUAAAUUUCUCCCAGUCAACGCAAUAGACAUUACACAUUAAGUUCACAUCCAAACAUUCAUCAUAAUCGUCGUCCCAAUUAAGUUUAGAUAUAACAUUACAAUACAUACAGUCGAUACAUCUUAAUUUUAUUGUUGAGUCCAGUAGAAAGUCCCUUACCUCAAGGUAACUCAAUUUCUCGAACAAACUAUAUCCAACGAAAGACACCAAGGUAUUACCGAACCAAACUCCAACAAUUUACAAGUUGGUUGUGAAUUCAGGGGACUCAAUGUUACUUCCAACACCUUCAAGAACAAUGUUAACCAAACGUUUAAUUUGAUAUUUCAUCUUAACAAUCCAUCACGCAGAAACCAUCAAUUUCACUUACCAGAGAACUCACAACAAAACAGCGACAACGACGAUCGAACCUAAACGACAAAGAUCGUACAAACAGAUUAGAGUGUACGUCUGUUUUUGAAUCACGGCUGGAAGAAGAAGCACGAUGCUGCCUUACUGUCGGUCGGUCGACGAACAGACAUGGCGGUGCAGAUGGUUGACGAAAGCGGAACAAAACCCUCAGUUGGAAUAUGGAAAGUCGUGGUGGUGUGGAACGGUUGCGGAUGUCACGGCGGCACAAAACGUGAAGCAGAAGACUUGUGCAAGCUGAGCAACGCGAAUUUCUGAGUAGUACGACUAGCAGAAGAUGACAGACAGUGUGAAGAAGUGGCUCGAGCGGUUGCGGAUCUGGACAGCAGGGAGGCGCUGACGAACCGUGACGAGCAGUUGGGGGUUUGGGUAACGGCGGUGCGAAAAAAAUGAAGGAGAAGGGAGAGAGGAGAUGGUCGGCGGCUGGAGGAUGCAGUGGGAUACAGCACGAACAGAAACAGUACGCGACGGCUUUGUAACCUGGACGGACGACAACUUCAGGCGAAUAAUGCAGCGGCGACGGCGGGAUGAGGAGAUUUGGGCGGUGAUGGUGGUUGGCGGACGAGCGAAAAGGAGAGGGAAAUGUGAGGUGGCUGGGUAGGGAGAGAAAUAGGAGAAGAUGAAGAAGAAAAGGGGGAUCGCGCGGGAGAAGAAGAAAAGGAAAUUGUUUUUCUUUUCUUUUAUUUUUUUUUCUUCCACCCCAAGUAUAGUAAAAUAACACCCAAAUUUUAAAAUCAUUAAAUAACAAGGCAAAUUAAUUACAAUAAUAAUAAUAAAACUCCCUUACAGUUGGGGGUGUUACAUUUGUAGUAGUGAAUUGAACACGUAGAAGAAAUGAAGGUUUCAAUAAUAAAAUGUCAUUUAAUAGUGGAGUAGAUAUAAAACAAGAAACAACAAACAUAUUUCAGUACUUAUUGAAUGAAGCACGUAGUGAGUUAUACCUCAGUUGUUCUAAAGUUUCUCCCUUAAGGUUUUUUUGUUAGGAUCAUGCAUGUAAAGGUUCUCAACAGUUGGAGUGCAAGCCCUUCGACAUGUUGUUAGAGAUAUUAAAAUGUGUGUUUCCAAUAUGUGGUUGAUAAAGUGCAGAAAUGACUAUUAUUAUAGCCCUUUCUAUUAGAAUAAUGAGGUUAAAAUGCAUAACAAUUGAUCAAAACGCAUGACUUAUGUUGUAAACACAUAAAUAUUUAGAAAUACAGCUUACAUAAAUGUCAUUCCUGUUUUACGCGGUUAUCAUGUUUAAACAUAGGACAAGUAGGAAAAUAAGAAAGAAGCAGAUCAUACAUGACAUCUCGCACAAAGGCUAUAUGAUGGAUCUUGCUUGGCGAUUAACAACUCCAAAUGAGGAACCAAGACAUUAAGCGAGGAAAGCUCACAAGAAGACAAGAAUGGUAGUUGAAAUGAUGUGACCUCACAGGGUUAGAUGACAGUUUUGAUACACUCAGAAGAAUAUAAUUUUCCAGUCGAAAAGCAGUCUAUACAAGUAUGUCAUCUUCAUCGAGUGCAGGGGGCUCGAAUAGGCCAAAGAAAGUUUGUCUAGGGAGAGAGAGAGCUCGAUUUGCUAUCUGGAAAAUAUGCAAUCGUGAUGAAGAAAAAUAUUAUUAUUUGCUGAUUUCCUAACUUGUAGUAGCAAUCCACUUUCUCUUCUUUCCAUUCUUAUUGUUUUCAUUUAUAGUGUAUACCUCAUAUUGUACAUAUUCUUUAUCAACCUAUACUCACAUUCUUUGAUAAGUUUAUAUAAAUAUAGUCAUUCAAUCCAUUAUCUCUCAUCUUCUGCAAGUCAUCGUGUUAUCAAUCGUUUGAGUUGGUAAUAGUUCAUGAUAAGGAGAGUCACUUAUAAAUCUUAAUGUGUUAAUUGUGCUUUUGUGAAUGCUUGUCCAGCAUAAGUUGCUAACUACCCGAGAAGAAAAGUAGCUAGAACAUAAUUAGCAUGCGUGAAGAGACACUUUGUCUCUCCACGAGAGUAUUUCUAAAAUUUGGAUCCCAAAAGGAGGGCAAGUGUGGGUUGUGGCUAUCGAGAGGUAGCAGUCCUUAAUCACGAAAUGUUGAUACCAAGAUUUAGCAAGAAUCAGUGAUUCUCGUAACCCAGACACAUCAAGUGUUUUUCCUUAAGGACCCAAAAAUGGUACCAAUUGGAAAAUUGUUCAAGUGGUACAAAAUAAACAUGUAUGGGAUGUGCCAGAAGGGGAAGAUAUUGAAAAUGAGGAUGACCCUUUGUUCAGGACUGAAGUUGAUCCUAUAGUGGUGAAAAGACUUGAUGUGGGUCAUGUCACCGACGACUUCAUAGACGAUGAUUUAUGAACAGUUAUCAUCACCUCCAAGCGAAUAAAGCGACGGUGAAUAAUAGUGUCUUCUUCACAUAUACACAUUAGUCAUUCUUCUAUAUAUUUAGUUUGAGAUACUCACAUUUGUUUAACGUUUUUUGGUUUUUGUCUAUAGGAAUUAUGUCAUUCCCCACCGGUCUUAAUGAGGCAGAUAUGUAUCUUAACUUGGACGCGUUAGAUAACACGGGAGGAUCAUCUUUGGUGGGCGACACUUCGGAUUAGUCUCAUUUACAUAAACACUAGAAACGGUAAUUAAGUUUCUAGAUCUGAUAGUGUGAUUUUUUCGUAAAUGCCCCUAAACCCACUCUCGCUCCCAUUCGCACUCAAAGGAGACGUCAGUCACUCCCACAACUUGGAGUUUGAUAGGUAUGUACAGCAAAAUGGGAAGAUUCCCAUUUCAAUCCCCUAGUAGAGGACAAGCCUAUCUCACUACACGCUGUUUAUUUGAGCUCCACGAUCGAUGUGUUAAUUAAUGCGAGACACAUUACCGAUCCAAGAUCUCAAGUGGGCUAACGUACCUCCAGAGUACAUCGAGGUCAUCAUGGGUGUGGCCUAUGGGUAUGAAAAUUAUUUAACAUAUAUGUUGAACUUACAUAUGUAGAAGACUAAUCCUUAUCUAUUUUUCUUUUGUAGCAAUGGUUCGUGCUCGAUUUCGAUGAUCCAACACUUGCACGUUUUGUUGAGCAUCAUAUGCUCAGCACAUGGAAGAAAUUUAUAGGAUACAACCAUCGACAUUUCAAGCAGUACAACGACCUUGAAGAAGCAUGUGGAAACCCGCCGCUGAGAUUAGUGAAUCGCUUGGAAGAUUGGCACUUCCUUUUCAAUCAUUACAUGACUGGACAAUUUUAGGUGAUUUAUAUCAUAUACUUUAAUUUGAUUUAAUAGUACUUUAUUUUUUUGUUUGGAUGUAAUGUUUUGAUCAUUGUUUAACUGUAGGAGCAAGUAAGGGUCAACAAGGCUGCUAGAUUGAAGCAGCCUUACACCAUAUAUAGGAGCCCUCUAAGGUAGUUGGUGAUUGACACUGGUCAAGUGAUGAAUAUAGCUCAACUAAUGCAACAAGAUUUAUAAGCUAGACUCCUUAUCAAGAACUUAUCGCAAAUCUAAAACAGAUUGACAAGUGAGAAUUCAAGAAAUGAUGGAUUUAAAAUGUGUAAUUAUGCAAUAUAUAUAAAGAGUGUAGAUCUUUGACCAUUGUACAAUAUUUACAACAUAUAUUACAAGGAAGUGCAAAAAUGGAGAGAAAGAAGAAUGAAAAAUAAUUACAAGUUAGGGGACACGGAAGAGCAACGGAAGUAUGGAUUCUUUUCUACUCAGAUGUUGGGCUUUCACUUUUACAACUGGCCAUGGAAUAAGAAGAAAGCUUUACAGACAGCGGAAAGGCUAUUCCUUUCAGCCUCUCUCUCUCUAGUGAUAGACCAUUUAAGGUCUUUAUUUCCUACAGAUGUCUACUAGCUAGCCCUAUGCAAAACCUCUUUUGUAUCCAUUCAGGCCUUCUCUUCUUGGUGGAGAUGAAGUCUUUUCAUAGGAAACUUUUGGCAGGAAACUAAUGUUCUUCUGAAAUUUUCAGCGUCGCUUGCAGCCUUGUGUAGUCACAUCAACUCCAUCUACCAUUCUUGUAUUCUAGUGAGCCCUCCUACCGUGAUGACGUAUUUCCUUGCCUAGAAAUGUUAUUUUCCACGCGAGUUCCCAUUGUGUGGCAGUUUUCCUACUGUUGUUCUUCUGAAAUUUGCACUUGCGAUUCAUUAGCUUUGUCCUUCCUAUUUAUCCCGUGUUUAGACAUUGUAAUCGCGUAAAAUAGGCAUGGUGCUUAUGUAAGAUGUAUUUCUAAAUACUUAUCAAUUUAUAAUAUAAGUUACACAUUUUGAUCAUCUUCGUAUUUUUGACCUCAUUAUUCUAAUAAAAUGAGUUAUAAUAACGGAUAUUUAUACACAUUAUCACACCCUAAAAUUUAGAAGAAUUCUUGUCCCCAAGCAUCACUCUGCAUUAUGCUUGUCUUCAAGCACCAUUCCCUUUUGACGACUCACCUUUCCCUUUUCAUUUCUACACCUCUCAAAGCGUGAGCAAGUUUUAUUCAUUAUUCAGGUUUGACUCUCAUUGCGUACUUCUUUCUAUGAAAGUAUUUCAAAGUUCAGAAUGAGUCAAGCUUAAUGCUCAAAGGAGUUGUUAUUUUUACUUUUACUUUUGAAGCUUUGCUUUUUUAUUUUUGUGAGAGAAGGCAACAAAGGAGUUGUUAUUUUUAAAUGAAUAGAAAAAUUUUAAAAUGUUCAGAUUUCUGGCGAAGAUUUAAUUUUUGAUAAAACGCCUUGUUUUUGGACACCUUAAGAGAGUUUUCAAAAAGUUUCAAAAGUUUUAACGCUGAUUUUGCACAACCCCAAAUUUAGAGGUUAGCAAUGUCCUUGUGAAAAUUGAAUGAUAAAGUUAUUUGCAGAAAUUUUUUACAAAAGAGGUUUGAGGUAAAAUUUGCACGCCUAGUAAACUAAAGAAAUAUUUUCUAAGUAUGGUUCCUUAACAGGUUAGACACUUGAAUAACAAAGAAACUUUAUUUCGCAUAAUUUAUUUUAUUGAAGUGUUAUUGAACCGCGAAGAAAAAUUAGAAUACUACAAAGCGGGAAGUCAAGCUUGCGACAAGAAAGAUUAAACGCAAAAGAAUUAGAUCAUAAGUUAUGACUUAUAUUAUAAUGGUUAUAAGUAAAAGAAAUAAAAAUUACAUAAAGCAUCAUUAAAAUAUGCCACAAUUGAUGACACUUAGCAUAUCCUUUUUAAGAUUACAACAAUAAAGGAGGUUUUUAUGGGAGAUUAUUCUGGUGGAGUUAUCCUCACUUUUGCUAUUGGGUCACAACGUGUCGUUGGACUUGCUAGGGUCCAAAAUAGGCGAAUAAGGUUUGCCUGAAAGAGUUGCUGGUGGGGAAUGUUGGCGAUUUGGAUUUGCGAGGAGUUUGAGUGAUUUGUCCUUAAAGGGUUCAAUUUGUAACGUAGAGGUUAAGGCGGUGAGCAUGCAACAAGAUGUCAUUGGAUUCCUCAUCCUUAAAGCAUUGUCCUCGCUUAUAUCCUGAGGCUUCCUCCUCUUCUUGUCUUUACUUCAUCACAUCCCAUUAUUGAACCCUUUCAUAUUCUUAGUUGGCAUCAGGGUAUUUUAUUCAUAUGGAUAGUGAUAAGGUUUGUUUUUCCUUUUCUCCUUUACCUCUACUAGUGCCCGCAAGAGCUUUUUAAUUGUAUUUAUCUUCUUCUCUUCUUGCAUUUGGACACUUUCUCCUUCGACAAGUAGUUUCUUUUAACCCCUUUCUCAAACUCCUCGAAGAUUUCUUCCUCCACCUUCGACUUUCUUCUACCUCUUUCUUUAAGGAUCCAAAUUUCUUUUGUUGAUCUUUCUUGAGUCCCUUCGGCUAAACCUUUAAAAUCAGCAUCAGGCAAAGAGGUGUUCUUCAUUGGAUGUUCAAGAUCCCCUUCCCUCACCUAAUUGAUCUGCCUCUUCUCCCAUCUUCUUCUAUUCUUCUUGUUACCUUUUCUUUUAUUCAUGCUUAUCUUUUCACUUUCUUUUGCUUCUUCCCUUACAUUUUCUUUUAUUCCUAUAUUUUCUCCCUUAGUCCUCCCUAACCUUUCUCACUGUUUUCAUCUUUUGUGAACUUAACGCCUAAGGAGGGGUUUUUAGGGAAUUGUAGUCUUAUGAAGGGUUUUAUAAGGGAAUCAUUUCUUGGUGAAAGAUAAAAGGAAUAUCUUGACGAACUAGCUAGGAGAAGACUUUUUGAAAUGGUAGUGUUUUGAAGGAUAUGGAAAUUUAUAGUUUUGUGACUUGUUGUGUUUGGUUAAAUGUCGAGGUUUAUGAUUUUGGUAAGUUUAAAUAGGCUCUCUCAACUAGGGUUAAGGGUUUAGUUAAUGUAUGGUUAAGGUCAUAUCAAAUUAAAUGAAGCGUGCUAAACCUGACAGCCUACUUGUGGCUCAAGGUAUGAGGUACUCAUUUCAUCUUGGAAGUUUAAGAACUUUAUGAGGGAAAGACGUUCCCUAUUUCCUAAAAACCUUAACGCUUCCCAAUGAAGCCUACUCUCAACUUUAACGUAUGAGAAGGUCAAAAUUACCUAACACAUUUGACUAAAUCGGCCUUCUUGUAAAUUGACUUCAACUUAAUUGUCUUAUCCCACCAUACUAUAACUUAGCGGUUUACCGUGCAGCCCCGACUAGGGGAUAUACAAAAUUCACAUACCAAAAAGGAUUUACAUAUAUACAAGUACUUACAGAGGUAUACAUGCAUAAGUAUCACAAAAAUAGAGGUACAAUUAAAAAGGUAGUAGAAGAGUUAUACAUUACAGUUGCACCCAUUUGUUUAAGUUCAUCGGCUAAAAAGAGUUGUGGUAUCAUCACUACUACUCCAUAUAGCUUUAUUUGUCUGCAUUGUCCUUGAACUUCAUACAUCACUUGCAACAUGAAUUUUUGCAUCUUGAUUGUUCAACACCGCAAGUCUAUGCUCCCAAUCAUUCAUCGUAAUGUUCGAAUGAUCUUUCUUAGUCUUUACCGCGAAACUUAGUGAAACAUGCUUUUUCAUUAACUCUCCACGAGGACAAUUUCUUUAAUGACUUCGUAGAGGUUCUCAUCUUCAUUUGUGAUUAACCACAUUCAUUGAUAUUUCUCUUGGCAAUCCAUCGAAAGAUUCAUUGAUCAUGGGGUUGGUUCAAGGAAUCUUAGAUUACUCUAGUACCUUGAACCUCUUCGCAUGAAUUUUGGCUAAUCACGUGAUUCACCAGGACCAAAUGCUUUGCCCAAAAUGAUAGUAAAACUCUACUCUAAUUCUUGAAAUAAAUCAAUUCCUCGACAAUGAUGUCAAAAACUUGGUGCAGGAUUUAUGUGGUGGUUUGUCAUUGUAAACUAUGUGAUAGGUCACGAGUCAUGAUCACUCUAUACAAAUUACUCAAUAUGUAUCUCUUCAUCACAUAAUCACUAAAUCCUCGUUGAGUACAAGUUUUCCCACUAACUGUCCAAGUGCAAGCGAAGCAGUAGGUUUACCUAGAUGAUCCAUGGUAUUCAACUAAUGCAUGUAGAUUUAUAAGCUAGACUCCUUACCAAGAACUUAUCACAAAUCUAACUACUAACAACACAUUGACAACUAAGAAGUCAAGAAAUGAUGGAUUGAAAAGGUAUAAAUAUUUAAUAUAUAUAAAGAGUGUAGGUUUUGGCUAUUGUACAAUAUGAACAACAUAUAUUACAAAAAAGUGCAGAAGAAUAAAAAAUAUUAUAAGUUAGGGGGGCGAGAGAACAAUGGAAGUAUGUAUUUUUCCUACACAGAUGUUGGGCUUACAACUGACCGAAGAAGAAGAAGAAAAUUUUACAGAUAGCAAAAAGGCUCUCUCUCUCUCUCUCUCUCUCUCUCUCUCUCUCUCUCUCUCUCUCUCUCUCUCUCUCUCUCUCUCUCUCUCUCUCUCUCUCUCUCUCUCUCUCUCUCUCUCUCUCUCUCUCUCUCUCUCUCUCUCUCUCUCUCUCUCUCUCUCUCUCUCUCUCUCUCUCUCUCUCUCUCUCUCUCUCCCUCCCCUCCCCUCCUCUAUCUAUCUCUCCCUCCCUCCCUCCCUCCCUCCCCUCUCUCUCUCUCUCUCUCUCUCUCUCUCUCUCUCUAUAUAUAUAUAUAUAUAUACCCUACAUACGUUCACAAGGCUUCUUGGUGGGGAUGAAAUCUUUUUAUAGGGUUUAGGGUUUAGCUUUUGGCAGAAAACUACUAUUCUUUUGAAAUUGUCAACGCCACUUGCAGCCUUGUGUAGUCACAUCAACCCCAUCUGCCAUUCUUGUCUUCUAGUGAGCCCUCCUCUCGUGGUGACGUGUCUUUUGCAAUUCACUAGCCUUUUGCUUUCAAUUUAUCACGCGUUUAGACAUUGUAAUCACGUAAAAGAGGCAUGAUGCUUAUGUCAGAUGUAUUUCUAAAUACUUAUGAAUUUAUAAUAUAAGUUACACAUUCUGAUAAUCUUCUUAUGCGUUUUGAUCUCAUUAUUCUAAUAAAAUGAGUUAUAAUAACGAAUAUUUAUACACGUUAUCAGACACCCCUCGUAUGAGUGUGCUAAAAUUCUUAUAAGCAAUUCAAAAGAAGGCAUCACACCAAAAGGAUACUUUCGAAAAGGAACUCAUGAUGCUUGUGUAAGAUGUAUUUCUAAAUACUUAUGAAUUUAUAAUAUAAGUUACACAUUCUGAUAAUUUCUUGUGCGUUUUGAUCUCAUUAUUCUAAUAAAAGGAGCUAUAAUAACGAAUAUUUAUACACGUUAUCAGACACCCCUUGUAUGAGUGUGUUAAAAUUCUUAUCACCAAUUCAAAAGAAGGCAUCGCACCAAAAGGAUACUUUCGAAAACGAACUCAUGUUUUUAACGUGGUCAUAACUCCAAACCCUCAAAGAGCACCAUGGUAGACUCAAAUGCAACUCAUAAUUUCAUUUCUAAACAAGAAGCACGUAGGUUGGAGUUGAAAUUGAGAAAUAAUUAUCAAAUCUUCAACAAAAAUUUUCCUUCAUCUAUGACUGGGAUCGAAUUAAUUAGAGAAUUUUUACUAUUAGCUAUGGAGUAUUUUUGUCUAAUCUCUCAGGUAAGAGAUUCUACUACUGAACCUUUAAACAUGAAUUGAAGAGUUUGCAUGUAUUUAUUGUUAUGCAUUGAUAGUAGCUAAAAUGCAUAAUGCGAUGUUGCAGUUAUGAUUGAUAUUAUAUAUGAUUAUGCAUGUUAUAUGGAUUACAUGAUUAUGGAUGUUAUGAUUAAUGUUUCAUGCUAUGAUAAUGAUGUUUGUUACAUGCUUUGGAUUGGUGUCUGUUAACUUUGGCUAUUAGGAUGUGUAUCUACAUGUACAAUGUCCCUUAAAUCACCACCUUUCACAGAUCUAUGAUUGUGUACGUUCGGCGGGACCAACAGUCUGUCAUGUUAUGUUUUAUGAGUGGUCUGAUGAGAUCACUUACAGCUCGAUAUCAUGUAUGUGUUCCUUUGAGUUCACCAAGUGAUGAGAGUGUUUUUACGGGAUCACUAGAUUGCGUGUGUUCCAUCAGACACAUGAUAGAUUUUGGUACCUCCUAAAGGAAAGUUAACAGAUCACCUAGUGGGACCAAUAGUGGGUCCCUUGUUGGGUAUAUUUUUAUACUCACCUUUUUUUUUCUAUGUUUAAUAAUAUUUCAGAUAAAGAUAGCGAUGAAAUGGAAAUCACCUUUUUAAUCAUUUUUAUUUAUUUAUUUCUUUUAUUUUCUUUAAAAUUAGUUAAGACCAAAAACUAAGGCAUAUUUUCAUGGUUUUCUUAAUGACUUUGCCAAAUUAUGUUUUAAACAGUUAUUUGAAAUUAUUUUAAAUAAAAACUUACUCUUUUCAAGAAAAUGUCAAAAUUGUUAUUUUUCUUUAAGGUAAUGACCUCAGCUUAGUAUACAAAGUUAGUUCGUUACAUCAUAUCCACUGAUUAACCAAAGAAACUCGAUUGAUGGUCACUAGGGAAAGUUCACAGAUUUUACAACUUAUCCUGAUGCAAUUUCUCAAUUAGGAAAUACCAAAAAAUGUUUUCUUCUAUCUCCUAUCUUCAUUUGUCUACUUACCAUUUAUGGGAGGAUUGUUAGAAUAAAUGACGUUACCUUAUAACUGAUUGUUUCACUUCAUGAAAAUAACCAAAUUAUAGAGAAAUGGCACAAUUGUUCCAAUGGCCACAAGUACUUUAAAUUAAUUGUUCUCUUCAGUUUGUAAGCAGAACAGUCUUGGUUUUCAUAAUUUUUUGCCAUCUCUAAAAAUUAUUUCUCUACAUUAUCUUCUUCAUCUUUUCCAAUUAAUUUUUUAAAUUAGUUAAAGUAGCUUUAUUUUUGUACAUCUUUAAUACAUUAUUCUCUUCCACUAUUCAUAUAUAUGCAUAGAUAAUCCCUGAUUAAGUUGAAAGCUAAAAUGAAACAAUAAAAGAAAUAUAAGUCACUAAUGAGACAUUAAGAAUCUUAGCUUCAAUGGCUGAAAAAAAAAAGGUUGCACCCUAAGAGAAUAUAUCUCAUAUUGCAUAUUUUACUUGAAAUCAUUAAUGAAUCAACCACUUUGGUGUGCAACAUUUUGGCUAUAUAAAAGUCUCAUCCUUUGGACAAUGGAUGAAGAGAGAGAUCCUUUUAAGUUUGGUUUAAGAAAGCUUUGAAAAUGGCUCAAAUUUGUAAUAUCUCAGAGGAGGUGAAGCUGAAUUGUUGUGGUGAUAAGUUCUAUGACUUUUUUGUAAACAAAAUGGAUUGUUAUACUCACUUGUUCCCUCAAAAUCUUCAGAGCUAUAAGUUUGUGGAGGGAAAUAGAUUUACUCAUGGCAGUGUCACCCAUUGGAAAUAUGACUUUGGUGAUGAUCUCUCUCUCUCUCUUUCUACCUAUCAUUAUGUUAUUUUGUAUAAUUUCCCUUUCAAUCCUCAUAUUUUAUAUUAUAUUAAUUUGAUGUUACAAUGUUCGUCUUUUGAUCGGGGCAUGAUGAGGCUAUUGUUAGAGAAAAGGAAUCUAGUUGGGAUGUCCUUAAACAUCUACUAUCUUGCCUUGUGAAUAUAUAUUUAAAGAACUUUUUAACUUUAAACAUAUGUUUGCUUUAGACCUAUGAUUAGGGUCAAUUUUACACAAAUGUUUGGAAGAAAUGUGAACAAAAUGCAGAUGUUGAUGGGUUUCUUUUAGAAAUUUUUAUUUUUAAACAAAUCUAGUGAAAUUAUUAAUUGAAAAUGCUUUAGGAAUUAUAUGAUACUUGCCUAUUAAUACAUUUGGUUGCUACUUUUUUUUAUUUGUGUGUGUAUAUAUAUUUUCUAUAUUGAUGUUGAUCGAAAUUCUGAGAAUAUUUCUUAAAAGUAUUUUAAAUCACAUGUCAAUCCAAAUUAUUGAGUUUGAUGGAAUUACUGUAAAGCUAAAUAUAUUGUAAAUUAUUAAGAGUUUAACUUGAAGCUAUUGCGUUUUUAUUAAAUCCUCCAUCAAUUCAAAAUUUUUAGUCAAGAGAUUACGAAAAGUGUAAUUAUAUAUAUUUUUUUAGGAUGUUUGUAAAAAUAGGAAAAAAAAUAAUAGGAUUUUUAUCGGUAUAUUUUUGUUGGACCGAAAAGUAAAUAGUCAUUUCAUAAUCCUAUAAUAUAUCUAAUUACUUGUAAUAUUUGUUAUAUUUACAAUAUAAAAAAAAGUAUUAUAGAUUUUCUUUUCCUAAAUCUUUUCUGUUAUUGGAUACAAUUUUCUUUUUUGUUAUUAAAAAAUCUUGUGACAUUUGCAAAAAUGACAAAAUAAGUUAUAAUAAUUAAGUCCAUAACACACACUUUAUUAUUUGCGAAAAUGACAAAAACGAAGUCCAGCCCACACAUCAAAAAGUAAAAUGUCACAAAUGCCCUCGUUACUAAUAUUCGUUGGAUACACCUAAUACUCUUUAAUAUAACUGAUACUUCUUUAUACACAUGAUAUAUUUAAUUGAUACACUUGAUGCACCUGAUUCCUUUUUAUACACUCGAUACCUUUUGGUAGACUCCGAAAACAUUACUAAUAUAUGUUUGAUACAUCUGAUGCACUACAGAUACAUUUAGUAUUCUUUACUUAUACAAUUGAUUGAUUAAAUGCACUUGAUAUGCUUGAAGUUCUACUUAUGCAUUUGAUAUACUAUUGAUAUCCACUUUAUAUACUGUUGAUAUCCACUUGUAAACUUGGUUCAUACUUGAUAACAAUUCACUUUACUGAUAUGUUUUAACAAUAUAUUGUUGAUAUACUUGAUAAUGAUACAUUGGAUUACAUCAUUCAUAUACUUAAUAAUACUCUAAUGAACUGCAUAAAAUUUGAAAAAAUGAAAAAAUCACGUAGUAAGUAUAUUAACCAACUAAUACAUAUAAUAUAAGUAUAUCACAACACUGAUAUACAAAACUCAGACAAAAUAAAACCAAAACAAAAUUAAUGUAAAAAAAUAAAAUAAAAUAAUUUAGAAUCAGAUUCAACUCAAAAUACACAUCGAAAAAAGUAAAAAAACAAAACACAAAUGAAAUUAAAUUACUCCGAUGAACAACCAUUAUAUUUCGUAUUGUAAUUAUUAUAUUAUUGAUAUUCUAAAAUUAAGAUUAAGACAGAAAGAAAAAAUAAUUUUUCUAGUAUAAAAAUAAACAAAUAAUUAGGGUCUUAAAAAAUUGGAGAAUAAAUAAAAAAUGAGUAGGACAUUAAAAAGAGGAAGAUAAAUAAGUUAUUAAAGGGUAGUCUAGGAAUAAUAACAAAUUUAAGACGGGGCGAGAAUUUUGUCAUAUUUGUAAAGUUCUAUAACAAUAUGCUAUAAUUAGUAUAUCAUAUUCAUAAAAUGUUAUUUUAUCCAAUUUUCUAAAAAUCUAAUAUAUAUUUUAUAGUUUUCUGCUUAUAAUAAAUUUUUAAAAUUUUAAAAUGACGUGGCAAACAUAAAAUUGACCUAAUCACAGUGGCCACUAUUUUACACAUUAUUACAUACAUAAUCCACUCUAGAUUUAAAUUUUAUUAAAUGUUUAAUUGUAAUAUCGCAUAUCAAAUAAGGAUGUCAUUUAUUGUAAUAAUAAAUUCUCUAUGUUCAAUGCUUGUAGGGUAACAAAAUCUUUAUUAAGUUUAUACAUUGCAUACAAUAUAAGGAUGUAUUAUUCUAUAUUAAACCUUUAUUUUCAAGUAAUUAGGUUAACCAUGUGAUUGAGUGUAAUUUAAACCUCUACAUAAUAAUAAGAAAAAAAGGCUUCUUGAUUGACUAUAUUAAUUAAUUUGCAUCACAGGUCUAAUGAUUAAAAUCAAUAUGUGAGUGAUCUCAUUUAAAUUAGAGAUUUUGAUGAGACUAAUAUUAACAAUAUGAUUUGGUCGUUAAAAUAUCCUUACUCGACUACAUACAAUUCAAACAAGUAUAUUUUCAAGCUUGUGAUUGAAAAGAAAAAAGAAAAGUUAGAUCUACCAUCUAACCUAAUUGAUAUCUCAAGUUAAAAGUAUUAUUUAAUGUUGUUUUAGUAUCCCGUGCCAUUUUCUUUAAUUUUUCAAUGGAUCGUGGUAAAUUAAGGGAGACAUCCAUAGUAUAUAUGUAACGACCCAACUUUUCUAAAUAAGUCGAGAUCGAUAAUUUUUAACAAAUAAAGACUUUGAUUAAUAUAAAACAAAACGUAAACAAUUAAAAAAAAAACAUCUUCAAGUCAGGCCUGAUUUUUAAACAUUCAAGAAAACAUAAAAUAGUACUAUUUACAACAAACGUUUGUAAACUAAAUUUCAAUUCAUUUUAAACCUCACAAGAACCCAUAAGCGGAAGCAAAAAAAAAAAAAAACACGUUUCCUAUGGCAUCAUGCUUCCUUCCUGCCCCUCGCCUGUUUGCCGCCUUUAUUACCUUUGCCUGAAAAUUAAACAUAAGAAGGGUGAGUAUUUUAAAUACUCAGUAAGAGACCCUCUACUGGUCUCGUCAGGGGAAAAUAAAUUGUUAAAGUUCUAUUGGGACACCCUGUACAGUCGCAGUCUUGUGAUCCCGUAGGAUACACAUUUCAGUCUAACGCCCCGAAGGACGUACAUAUCAGUCUAACGCCCCGAGAGACGUACAUAUCAGUCUAACGCCCGAGAGACGUACAUAUCAGUCUAACGCCCGAGGGACGUUCAUAUCAGUCUAACGCCCCGAGGGACGUUCAUAUCAGUCUAGUGUUCUGCAGAAACACAUAUCAGUCAAAUGCUCCCGAAGGUGCACAAUAAAUUGGUGAUCCCGUGGGACACCUACAAGGUAAACAUCCCAAUACAACCUAACAAUUUAUCCCCUCAUUCCAUUCAACCCAUCUUUCAGUUACUUCAAAUCACAAAGUCCUUUCUUUCAACAUCCUAACAGUCAACUUAUUUUACUACAAUCAUAUGUCUGUCAGUAAAAUGCUAAUACAUCAGUCAAUCCACUAUACAGUCAAGUCAAUACACCCCUCAGUUCACCAGUACAAACCACAGUUCAGUAUAAUCCACAUCCAACCGAAACAAAUUCACUAGUUCACAUCCAAUCUUUAUACAGCACAAUCUAUUAAUAUCAUCAUGUACACAUAAGCAUAAUUUCAGUCAUUCACAUGUAUACUUUCGGCAAUCCACAUCAAUUCACACAUCAAUGUAUAUAUAUAUUGUUUCCAGUCAAAUACAACAUACACUAAACAUUUAGUCUGCAAUCAAACAUGUACA